CAAGAAUACCUUUGACUUUUUUUCUCUUUUUUGGACACAAUACAAGCUUAUUUAUUUGGACAUUCUACCCAACACAAGUGUCAAGGUAGUAGUAACGUGUCCACUUGGAGCCCAAAGCAGGUGCCUGCUCGAAGACAACUCCACCCUGCAAACCCUUUUCCCCUCCUGCCACCAAAUUAUGAAAUAAUAAUGCCGAGACCGUCAAGAGCAGGGUCAAGCAAAUGAUGUCAAGGACCCUGACAAGAAGGCAUGAAUGGCUCAACACAGAAAGAGACGUAUUUCAGUGGCAAUUGGCUACUGGACACUGUGUUCGUGCUCUCCUUGCAUUAUUAGCCCAUUUAAAGCUCGUAUCAGCUCCAAGGACAACGACCAGCAAAUCUUACCCAAUGUAGACACAACACUGCUAUUCACACCGAGUAUCCUCCCUUUUGUUCCUUAGACAGUCUACACCUGCACAUGUGCUCCUUUGUAAACUGAAGGUGAACACGGUAAGCAAUAAACAGUAUGGACCUUCUAAUCAUUUCUCUAGUACUGAUGAAGUCUGCGGGUGGAAGGACGGAGUGACCCAGAAGGAGUAUGGUGCAAGCGUGGGAUUUUUGAUGGCUAUUGACUGCUUGGCUCUGCUCUCAGUUUCCAUUGAUUUCUUGGCAUUGACAGGAUCUACUACUGCGAUGCUUUGUUUCAGAGAGCCACUUUUUUGUUUUUUGGCUUUUUUUUUUUUUUUUUUUUUUUUUUUUUUGAGAGCCAGUGUUUUAUUUUCCCUGCUGCGGCAUGUCCCUGGUGCAUAGGUCAUUUCCUGGAGACCUCAUCGUAGCCAGGAAACAGCCAAGAGUGAAGAAAUAAGCCAAAAUACCUCCAAGCAACUAAAAUAGAUAAUGGCCAAGUCUCCACUGUCCAAACACUUCAUAAAGAGGAAAGCCCUUUGGAGUUCUCUGCACAUAGUUCUAGUUAGCUCUAUUGUGAUUUUCUAGCAAAGCACUUUAAACAGCACGUGUGUUGGGAGGUUAGGAAAGGAGAGUUGCCAAAGGCUGGGACACUGGCAGCUAUGAAAAUGACAUCUGAUAGACUGCAAGAGAGAAAAAGACCAAAGAACAAAAAGAAAAGAAAAGAAAACCUAUAAAAACAGGAAUCAAGGAAUCAAAACUCAGAGAUGGGAUCAUGCCACAGAGAGGCAAACACCCCAUACUUCACCACUGGAUUCCCGAGUGGGAGAGAAAUUGACAUCCACCCGGAAGCCUGAGAUAAAAAGACUGGAACAAGGUAUGCUCAGCAAACUGUUGGAGAAGGCAGGAAGUAUGUGAUACAUUUUAGAAAGAUUUCUAGACAAAAUAGUUUUGCUACUGUUUUUGUGUUUAAAUACAUAAAGUUCAGGGAGGGGAAAAAAGAUCUUUUACUUUUUAAGCAGUUUAAAAAAAAAAAAAAAAAAAAAAAAAAAAAACCUGUAACAGAAAAAAGAAAAUCGGAUCCCGAAGUCAUUUAAAUAGGCCAGGUCUUCCCUAACCUGCUGGAUACAUUAAGCGUUCCCGUCUUUCAAACAAAGCAUGAAAAUCUCUUUAGAAGUGUCAUGUUCUGCAAAUAUCACUAUAACAGCGAUAAUAUGAUUCCCGAAGGAGAGAGACACACACAGAGAGACAGAGUUUUUUCCCAGCCACCUAUGCUCUGGAUGUUGACCUAGUUAUUAACAUAAUUCAUUCGGCUUUAACUUUACUUUUCAUCAGCCUUACUUCCCAUGCACCUAGGUAAUAUUCCUAAUUUUCAUUUUGAUGGCUGCCAUGGCAGGUGGCAUGCCAUAUUCCAUGAUUCUAAAUGGCUUCCAAUUUUACUAAUUAUCCAUAAGCAAUAAAGGAAGGAAGGAAGGAAGG